GUACAUAGAACAUUCAGGGUGAAUGUUAUGUGUUAUGUGAUUGCGCUUUUAAUGACAAUCUAUGUAUGAUUGAAGAUCUGAUUUACAAACGCAUUCAAUCAUUAAUUACAACCAGAUUUACUUAUUUUCCAAAGAGAUCUAACCAGCUGUCAUGAGAAGAUCUAAUUGGGAAAUAGUUUUAGGGUUUUUGUAAUGUCUAAGCCCAG
rnacentral:lncRNA from 1 species